rnacentral:rRNA from 1 species
UACGUAGGGAGCAAGCGUUGUUCGGAUUUACUGGGCGUAAAGGGCGCGUAGGCGGCGUGUCAAGUCGAUUGUGAAAUCUCCGGGCUUAACUCGGAACGGCCAAUCGAUACUGACGUGCUAGAGUGCAGAAAGGGCAAUCGGAAUUCUUGGUGUAGCGGUGAAAUGCGUAGAUAUCAAGAGGAACACCUGAGGCGAAGGCGGGUUGCUAGGCUGACACUGACGCUGAGGAGCGAAAGCGUGGGGAGCGAACAGG